AUGAACGCUGGCUACAGGCUUAACACCUGCAAGUCGAGGGGAAACGACGGGGAAGCUUGCUUCCCCGGGCGUCGACCGGCGCACGGGUGAGUAACGCGUAUCCAACCUGCCUCUGACUGAGGGAUAACCCGUCGAAAGUCGGCCUAAUACCUCAUGGUAUCGUCUGCGGGCAUCCAACGACGAUUAAAGAUUUCAUCGGUCAGGGAUGGGGAUGCGUCUGAUUAGCUUGUUGGCGGGGUAACGGCCCACCAAGGCUACGAUCAGUAGGGGUUCUGAGAGGAAGGUCCCCCACAUUGGAACUGAGACACCGUCCAAACUCCUACGGGAGGCAGCAGUGAGGAAUAUUGGUCAAUGGGCGAGAGCCUGAACCAGCCAAGUAGCGUGCAGGAAGACGGCCCUAUGGGUUGUAAACUGCUUUUAUGCGGGGAUAAAGUGAGGGACGUGUCCCUCAUUGCAGGUACCGCAUGAAUAAGGACCGGCUAAUUCCGUG
rnacentral:rRNA from 1 species